rnacentral:rRNA from 1 species
GUGGGGAAUAUUGCGCAAUGGGCGAAAGCCUGACGCAGCGACGCCGCGUGGGGGAUGACGGCCUUCGGGUUGUAAACCUCUUUUACCACCAACGCAGGCUUCCAGUUCUCUGGAGGUUGACGGUAGGUGGGGAAUAAGGACCGGCUAACUACGUGCCAGCAGCCGCGGUAAUACGUAGGGUCCGAGCGUUGUCCGGAAUUAUUGGGCGUAAAGAGCUCGUAGGCGGCGUGUCGCGUCUGCUGUGAAAGACCGGGGCUUAACUCCGGUUCUGCAGUGGAUACGGGCAUGCUAGAGGUAGGUAGGGGAGACUGGAAUUCCUGGUGUAGCGGUGAAAUGCGCAGAUAUCAGGAGGAACACCGGUGGCGAAGGCGGGUCUCUGGGCCUUACCUGACGCUGAGGAGCGAAAGCAUGGGGAGCGAACAGGAUUAGAUACCCGAGUAGUCC